rnacentral:rRNA from 1 species
GAGCACUGUUUCGACUAGGGGGUCAUCCCGACUUACCAACUCGAUGCAAACUACGAAUACCGAAGAAUGUUAUCACGGGAGACACACGGCGGGUGCUAACGUUCGUCGUGAAGAGGGAAACAACCCAGACCGCCAGCUAAGGUCCCAAAGUCAUAGUUAAGUGGGAAACGAAGUGGGAAGGCUCAGACAGCCAGGAUGUUGGCUUAGAAGCAGCCAUCAUUUAAAGAAAGCGUAAUAGCUCACUGGUCGAGUCGGCCUGCGCGGAAGAUGUAACGGGGCUAAACUAUGCACCGAAGCUGCGGCAGCGAACGUAUCACUUAAACUGAUUAAGUGAUACUCAAAUGUAUCAAAACGAUUGACGGAGCGAAGCGACGUCAAUGCGUCCAACAAAGUCGAGGCGGAAACGUCAGGCAGUCAGUUUAAGGAUACGUUCGUUGGGUAGGGGAGCGUUCUGUAAGCCUGUGAAGGUGUGCUGUGAGGCAUGCUGGAGGUAUCAGAAGUGCGAAUGCUGACAUAAGUAACGAUAAUGCGGGUGAAAAACCCGCACGCCGGAAGACCAAGGGUUCCUGUCCAACGUUAAUCGGGGCAGGGUGAGUCGACCCCUAAGGCGAGGCAGAAAUGCGUAGUCGAUGGGAAACGGGUUAAUAUUCCCGUACUGGUGAUAAUUGCGAUGGGGGGACGGAGAAGGCUAGGCUAUCCGGGCGACGGUUGUCCCGGUUUAAGGAUGUAGGCAGGUGAAUUAGGCAAAUCCGGU